rnacentral:rRNA from 1 species
UACGUAGGGGGCUAGCGUUGUCCGGAAUCAUUGGGCGUAAAGAGCGUGUAGGCGGCCCGGUAAGUCCGCUGUGAAAGUCGGGGGCUCAACCCUCGAAUGCCGGUGGAUACUGUCGGGCUAGAGUGCGGAAGAGGCGAGUGGAAUUCCUGGUGUAGCGGUGAAAUGCGCAGAUAUCAGGAGGAACACCGAUUGCGAAGGCAGCUCGCUGGGACCUCACUGACGCUGAGACGCGAAAGCGUGGGGAGCAAACAGG